ensembl:lncRNA
GAAAAAAUUCCAUCCAGCCCCGGGGAGGAGGGAGCGGGGCGGGGAGGCCGGGCCGGGGAGCGUGACGCAGGGAGGAGGGAAGGGACAAAAGGGGCCGGGAGGCGGUAGGGUGAGCCGGCAGCGCUCCCGCUCCUCCCUCCCUCCUCCCUCGGCCGGGGCCAGUUCUCUACUCUCCGCUUUCUUUCGUACCCUCCACCUCUCCUCCCUUUCCUUCACUCUGCCGGCCUCCUCCUGGCCCUGUGCUCCCCCCACCCCACCCCCCGCCCCCGUGUCUCCGUCUCCGCGUCUCUCUUUCUCCUUACAUCACGCCCACCCCCUCCACCCCAAUCAGGGUCUUCUCCUCUCCUCGCUCUGUCUCCCCCUUUCUGCUCUCCCAGCCUCCUUCCCCUCCCUCCGCUUCGGUCCCUCCACCCGCCCACCCACUGGGGGACAGAAAGGUGAAUCAGACCCAGAUCUGCCCUUGCAGACCGAGCUCACAGUCUGAUGGAGGAGACAGACCCAGACGCAGACAGUUCCAAUCCUGGGCGAUCGGGGAAGACACAGUGAGAGACUGGCUGUCUGCAAGCCAGGAAACACCGCCUCACCAGGGAACUGAAUCAACCAGCCCCUUGCUCUUGGACUUUUCAGCCUCCAGGACUGUGAGAAAUAAAUUCCUUUUGGUUUAAGCCUCCCAGAUUUGGUAUUUCAUUAUGAUAGCCUGAACCGACUAAGACACUGGUCCUUAUUUCGUUCUACAGCAGGUUUUGGUCACUUUUAUUGUAUAUUAAUGGGCAUCAGAGAAGGACUUGCUAAAAAACAC